AGCCUGUGAUGAUCUCUCAAUUUCUGACACCUCGUAUGAAUACAUGUAAUGAUUACAACUUUUUUUCUGAGGCUU